UCAAGCGGCUGGGUGGUUAUUCCACACACACGCACACUCCUUUUUUGGAUGUUGUGUCUUCUGUGUGUGUGGCACUCGUCGCCUUUGUGGGAAAUCCGUGUGGCACUUGUUUGGUGUUGUUGGCAGACUUCGGUCUUGCCUUCACACACGUUUCACAUGUGUCAUGCCUUCCCUCAAAG
rnacentral:rRNA from 1 species